rnacentral:rRNA from 1 species
AUCUACGGCCAUACCACCCUGUGCACACCCGGUCUUGUCUGACCUUAGAAGUUAACCAGGGUUGGGCCUGGCUAGUUCUUGGAUGGAAGGGAAAAUGGAACUCUCUUUAAUGGAAUUAGUGACCUAGAAC